AUUAAGGAUUUGUCUUUGCCAUCGACAGCCUUAAGUCGAUAAUUCUUUACUGUGCUGUGAUAGAGCAGCAUAUCAGUGCAGACAAGGCCGUAACACUAGCUUGUCUCGAAGAAGAGUUUCAACUGAAGUUCUGGGGACGGGUUACAACAAAAAUUCAUUUUAUUUAAAACAUUUUCUUCUUCUUUCACAACAAAUUCAAUCCAAAAUACUGAGCUUUUUUUUGGCCAAAUGUGCCUUCAGGAUCACCAUAUAUUGUGGCCGUCUGAGCAGGGGUUGAGAAGAUUCUCAACGAUUUCGUGUAGGUCAUUAUAGCCGGAGCAGAAAAGGUCAAUUCUUAGUUCUAGAUUCGUCCCAAAAUCACACUCAUAUGGAGCGAUAAUUGAAGUUGUUAUGAUGGGCUGCAAUUUGUCCAUGACUAUCUCUAUAAGGACUCGCCUGGCUUGUCCAAAGCACUGAGGAUCUUCUUGAUGUUGGCAUCGCUGUCCAUAGCACACUGUUCUUGUUUUAAUUACUGGAACAACGAUUCCCACAUUGUGUCGUCACGCCACCAGCCAUAGUGAAUCCCCGUUCCUCGCUUAACAAAGAGCGUUUGAAACUCUGGAGGAUCAUAAAAGAACCGCCAGUGCUCUUAUUCUCGACGUUGGUAAAUUUUCUUCCAUAUUCUGUAAAUAAAAAACAAAAAGCAAUCAUUCUUAUUUUGUAAGGAUUUUGUUAAAAUAAUAUUACUUACCACGACCAAAUUUAUUUCAAAAUGAACUAUUUGUUUUGGUUUUUUUUUUGAGAGGUUUUAUAUAAAACUUGUGGUGUACAAAAACUUGUUGUUUACCAAACAUGUGUGGGAAAACUUGAGUUUUCAAUGUAGGUUUUCGGCCAAAAUCAAUAAUUUCACGAAAACCGGAUUUUUGACUUGGUGUGAAAAACCUAUAAAAGCGACUGGUAAUAUAAAGUAUUAAAAUAAAGAGAGGAGUAAAUUAUUUUUGUUCUUUAUUCUAUUAAAAUAGUUCUUUAUCAAAUUCAAACGAUGGUGGUAUUUUUUUAAAUUUGUAAAGUGGGAAGAGGGUGCGUAGUCGUAGAUAUGUAUUAAAGUGUAGGAAGCAGAAUUGUAAGGAAUUGUUUAGGCCGGUAGGUACUUUAUCCAGAGCAGACGUCUCAAAAGCUUUGGGAAGUAUUAAUUUAACUCAUCCAAUUGUAUGAUAUAUAAGUAAGCAUUACAUUACACUUGUAUGGUACCUACAUACAUAUACUUAUAUCGCAUUACGCUUAUUUUUUUUACAAAUAAGAGCAGCUCUGCUUAAAAAGUGUUUUCCAAAUUGCUUACCAAAGUGCCUCCUUUGACCUAGUCUACUAGUUAGUUUUUAAAGUGUAAUAAACUUCAAACUCAGAAGUUUACUUAUCCAACUUCUACCUUCAAUUUACCGUACAAAAACUACCAAAAACAUUAUUGUCUACAAAACACUCCUUAGGCAAACUAAAAGUUUAUCCCAAUUUGCAUUUCGUAUUGUAAGGAAAUAUUACUUAUUUCUUUUCCAAUUUGUUGAGAAAUCCUUUUACACAAAAUAUUAAAUGAAAUUGGGCGAAAAAUAAAUACAUAAAUCUUAGAGGAAUAAAGUUCAACUUUCAGUUAAUUAAAAAAAACAUGGUCAGUUGUCAUUGUGACAUAAGUUGACUUGACUUGAUAGUUAGGGAGAUUUAUUUGACUAGUCAAGUUUCCAAUAAAGUUGCCUUAUUUGGAAGGCAAUUUUUUGAUAGCUGGCCAAUCAGAUGCUAGGAACUUGGCUUACUUUCAAAUCAAUUAUUUCACCUGAACCUGCCCCAUGUCUUUUGAUCAACUAACACACGGCACACAAAGUUUAAUAUUUUCGAGAACCUGGUGCCCAACCAAACCUGGCCAAUGGGUUUGAGCAGAUCUAGCAUGUAACAAGCUUAGGCCAAUGGCAGCGCGCUGCAGCGCCAGCGGCAAAGAGAAAUAUAUUUACUAAGAGAUCCAACCGGUACCCGUCUUGCCUGAAACACCCUCAAAUUUAAUACAUGUGAGUGGUGGAAAAAAGGAAAAAUGUCAAAUUGAAUUCUUGUCAAAAAUGACAGUUCCACAAUUUCGAUUUCAAAAACAAAACAUUCAAUUUGAGAUUCUACAAGUAAGUUUUUGUAAAUUAUUUUGUUUUGUCUAAACAUUUAGAAGACUUUAUAUCUUUUCAUAUCAAAAGCCUUAACGAUCAAGAGCUACGAGUGCAUUAAUUAAAAAAACGACAGACCAGGAACCAGAAGAAAACAAUGAGACUUAUUCUACUCGGAGUUCAAGUAGGUACGUUAGAAAAAGAAUCUCCAAAAAUAUGUUUUACGUCCAACUCAAGAAGAUAAUAAAUGAAUAAAAAUCGACUUUAUUAACACUUCCUUAGUGUUCUGCCAUUUGGAGUGCUGCCGAUUACAAACCAUGAUACAGAAAGAAAUUUCUCUAAAGAAAUUCGGAAGGUUUGCUCAAAACAAGGGCACUAGUCCCCAGAUUAAUGUAUUUUAUAUUAUAUUUCUCUUAAUAUAAAUGUUCUUAACCACAGACUUUCACCUUUAUUUGUAAAUAGUUAUUCGAAGCCGGUUAAAGUAAAGUAUACAUAUUAUUCUACACUCAAUUGCAUGAUCGUUGAGAUCUGCCUCAACGGCUAUGGUGGGUGCAGACGUUGACGAUAGAGGUGUCGACGGCUGUGCCAAUAGUAAGAUUCAUCGAAUGCAACAACAACACCAGAAUAACGAAUUCAAUUCCGAAUUAGCUAUGUCACUUUGUAUGACUUUGUGAAAUUCAAUUUAAUGGUGCAAGGGAAAGCUUUGACAUUCAAUAGUCGCUCGCCUAUUUUUGGAAUGACUAAACAGCGGCAACAGCAGCGGCAGAGUAUGCAGGCAAAUCAGGAUUUCCAACUUCCUUUGCCCAUUCAUCAGCUGCCAAGAAGUAUGGUACAAAUUAAAUUAAAUUAAAUUGGGUGGUGCAACAGUCCGUUGAAAUCUAGGGCCUAGUGACUUACAACUCUCAAGUAUUCAUGUGUGCGAGUACCUUCUGUUGUCAGGGAUGGAGGGGACCUACAUUUUUAAAGCCGAAUCCGAACGAAUAAUUUGAGAAAGCACUUUUUCAUGACAAGAAUUACUUUCGGAGAAUUUGUCAAUUUCUCACAAGAGGCAGUACCGAACCCCACACCUCUGGCAUGACAGUCCGACGCAUUAACCUUCAUGCCACGGGUAUUAUGGUACAAGGCGACCAAAUAAUAACAACUCUUGCAGCUGCAACUAAAGCAACAUCUUAUAAUUUCAUAGAACCUCAUAGAGGUUCAGUUGUGUAAGUGCAAAUCGAAGCAAUAAUAUCGUGAUCAAUUUGCUUAAUCUUCACCUUCUGACUGAGUCAUCAGUAACUACGGCCACUUAGGCCGACGCAGACCACGUAGAUGAUAAAAUGCAUGUCGACAUUGACGGGAAUCAAAAAUCAUUGACAGAAAAAAAAGAAGUCGAAUUCCUAAGUACACAAUCCUUAUUGAAUCACCAAAAGAACUAACUGGAAUCAUAUAGAAGACCAUCGACAAAGGAACUGUCCAAAUGAUGUUUUAAGAAAUUUCCGCAACCUUCACCUGCCAAAAAUUUCCUAAAAUAAUAAAAUCGGAAAUUGUGCAUUUGUGCGUUCAUUGACCAUGGGCUCAUGAUAGUAAGACUACUUCAAAGUAAGCUUCACAUAAACCACAAACUUUAAAAGCACUGAUUUUUUUGAGCAACAAAACAAAGCGGUAUUGCAACAAAUCCUGAAAUGAAGAUGAUUCUUGUCGACGACUUGAUUUAAAUCUUAUCCAUUUAUAUUUUAGGUUCGCGGCGCAGCUAGUUUUGAAAUAAAUUUGUUUUUAAAAUUGUAAUUUAGUAUAAUUUUUUUAAAUUCAACGCUAAUAAUGUAUUUUUACUUAAAAAAACAAAAACUGGAUGUUAAAAUGCAAUUUUUUGGUUUUUGAGUAAAUAAAAAAGAUAGCUAUUAAAUGUACUUUAUUCAAAGAAAAAUAUUUUUGUUUGGAUUUCCCAAAUUUGAAUUGCUCAGGUCAAUUUUCAUAGUGGAUUAUACCUUUUUUCUUUUUGUUUCG